rnacentral:rRNA from 1 species
GACAGAGGUCCCGAGCGUUAGGCGGAAUCACUGGGCUUAAAGCGUGUGUAGGCGGAUGCCUAAGUACCUUGUGAAAUCCCACGGCUCACCCGCGGAACUGCUUGGUAUACUGGGUGUCUUGAGCCACUUAGGGGCUACCGGAACAAAUGGUGGAGCGGUGAAAUGCGUAGAUAUCAUUUGGAACGCCAAUGGUGAAAACAGGUAGCUGGGAGUGUGCUGACGCUGAGACACGGAAGCCAGGGGAGCAAACGGG